rnacentral:rRNA from 1 species
GACAGAGGUGCCGAGCGUUAGGCGGAAUCACUGGGCUUAAAGCGUGUGUAGGCGGAUCCGUAAGUACCUUGUGAAAUCCCCGGGCUUAACCUGGGAACUGCAUUUGUGACUGCAUCGCUGGAGUGCGGCAGAGGGGGAUGGAAUUCCGCGUGUAGCAGUGAAAUGCGUAGAUAUGCGGAGGAACACCGAUGGCGAAGGCAAUCCCCUGGGCCUGCACUGACGCUCAUGCACGAAAGCGUGGGGAGCAAACAGG